AAACCUGGACUUUACAGAACAGGUGUACUUAUUAGACUUUAAAACCGAUUACAAUUUAUUGUAAAUUUAAAAUGAAUUAAAAUAAGUUUAUGAAUCGCAGAUCAUUUUGUGAUGAUAAGAAUGAAUUUCUGCCCUAUCAACUUUCGAUGGUAAUGUAGUGGAUUACCAUGGUGAUGACGGGUAACGCGGAAUUAGGGUUUGAUUCCGGAGAAAAGGCCUGAGAGACGGCCAUUACUUCUAAGGAAGGCAGCAGGCGCGUAAAUUACCCAAUCCUAAUACGGGGAGGUAGUGACAAGAAAAUAUUGAUAUUGGACCCAAAGGGUACAAUGAUUGAAAUGAGAACAAUAUAAAAAACUUAACGACUAACAAUUGGAGGGCAAGUCUGGUGCCAGCAGCCGCGGUAAUUCCAGCUCCAAGAGUGUAUAAUUAAAGUUGUUGACGGUUAAAAAGCUCGUAGUUGUAAUUUCU
rnacentral:rRNA from 1 species